rnacentral:rRNA from 1 species
GCAUGGUUUCAUUAUUAAAGGAUUCCGGUAAAGGAUGGGGAUGCGUUCCAUUAGGUUGUUGGUGAGGUAACGGCUCACCAAGCCUUCGAUGGAUAGGGGUUCUGAGAGGAAGGUCCCCCACAUUGGAACUGAGACACGGUCCAAACUCCUACGGGAGGCAGCAGUGAGGAAUAUUGGUCAAUGGGCGGUAGCCUGAACCAGCCAAGUAGCGUGAAGGAUGAAGGCUCUAUGGGUCGUAAACUUCUUUUAUAUAAGAAUAAAGUGCAGUAUGUAUACUGUUUUGUAUGUAUUAUAUGAAUAAGGAUCGGCUAACUCCGUGCCAGCAGCCGCGGUAAUACGGAGGAUCCGAGCGUUACCCGGAUUUAUUGGGUUUAAAGGGAGCGUAGGUGGACUGGUAAGUCAGUUGUGAAAGUUUGCGGCUCAACCGUAAAAUUGCAGUUGAUACUGUCAGUCUUGAGUACAGUAGAGGUGGGCGGAAUUCGUGGUGUAGCGGUGAAAUGCUUAGAUAUCACGAAGAACUCCGAUUGCGAAGGCAGCUCACUGGACUGCAACUGACACUGAUGCUCGAAAGUGUGGGUAUCAAACAGGAUUAGAUACCCUGGUAGUCCACACAGUAAACGAUGAAUACUCGCUGUUUGCGAUAUACAGUAAGCGGCC